AGUGAACGCUGGCGGUAGGCCUAACACAUGCGAGUCGAACGGCAGCACAGUAAGAGCUUGCUCUUACGGGUGGCGAGUGGCGGACGGGUGAGGAAUACAUCGGAAUCUACUUUUUCGUGGGGGACAACGUAGGGAAACUUACGCUAAUACCGCAUACGACCUACGGGUGAAAGCAGGGGAUCUUCGGACCUUGCGCGAUUGAAUGAGCCGAUGUCGGGUUAGCUAGUUGGCGGGGUAAAGGCCCACCAAGGCGACGAUCCGUAGCUGGUCUGAGAGGAUGAUCAGCCACACUGGAACUGAGACACGGUCCAGACUCCUACGGGAGGCAGCAGUGGGGAAUAUUGGACAAUGGGCGCAAGCCUGAUCCAGCCAUACCGCGUGGGUGAAGAAGGCCUUCGGGUUGUAAAGCCCUUUUGUUGGGAAAGAAAAGCAGCAGGUUAAUACCCCGCUGUUCUGACGGUACCCAAAGAAUAAGCACCGGCUAACUUCGUG
rnacentral:rRNA from 1 species